rnacentral:misc_RNA from 1 species
GUGAAGAACGCAGUGAAAUGCGAUAAGUAAUGUGAAUUGCAGAAUUCAGUGAAUCAUCGAAUCUUUGAACGCACAUUGCGCCCGCCAGUAUUCUGGCGGGCAUGCCUGUUCGAGCGUCAUUUCAACCAUCAAGCCCCCGGGCUUGUGUUGGGGACCUGCGGCUGCCGCAGGCCCUGAAAAGCAGUGGCGGGCUCGCUGUCACACCGAGCGUAGUAGAUUUUAUCUCGCUCUGGGCGUGCUGCGGGUUCCGGCCGUUAAACCACCCUUUUAACCCAAGGUUGACCUCGGAUCAGGUAGGAAGACCCGCUGAACUUAAGCAUAUCAAUAAGCGGAGGA